rnacentral:lncRNA from 1 species
AUUAGUCUUUCUAAAACACUCGGAAAAAUGGAAUCUUAAGGGCGGAUUUUUAAGUUACCUAUUUUGAAUGUUCAUGAGCCAUCAGCAUAGCAAAAGUUUCUGUCCGUCUAUUUUACAGCUCCGGUGUUAACAGUGUCUACGUAGUAAUGGGUAGAGCACUUGUUGGCCCAAGAGACCAUGCAGCCACCAUUUUUUGAGUGGUGCCUGAUUUCUCUCACUAAUCUACUCCUGACUUUCUGUUUACUUGCUAAUAUUGUACUUUAAAGCUGGGAGCUUCAGUCUGUUUUUGUUUUUUUAUUUUUGACAACUUAUCAAUUAGCUAGCGUCCAGCCCUUAGUUUAAUAAUAUGGGGCUCCUCUUCUAACGGUAGGAGACAAUGUCUAAUGGUCAACCCCUUGUAUGUUCACCAUACCCUUGAAAGGCCAUAGUAAAAAAAUGGGCGGUAGGUAGUUAGAUAAUUUUGAAGCAUUUGGCUCACCUGAAAAUUGAUACCUGUGAAAAGCUGUGAAAACAUGUAAAUCAGGACAGUAGAUUUAAAAUUAAAAGUGAUAAUUCAUGAAAAUUUCAGUAAUCAAAAAGCUGAUGGUGAAGAUGUCAGCUAUGAAGCAGCCACCUUGUUUAUGUAGACAGUGAGACCCUGGAAAACAAGUGUCUUGAUUGGAGCAUACCAGAAAUUCUGGUGUGAAACUUUUUGAAAAAUUUCUCAAAGGGAAAUGAUUUACCGCAAGAAAUUUUGUGUAAUACUCAUAAUCAAUAAGUCUUUUACAAACUAAAAUGUGAUUUUUAGUUAUGGUUUAAUGUGUAUUUACGGGUGAUCCGUGAUUGGAGAAGCAGACCCCUUAGAAUUUUCCACUUCACCAUGCACUAAUUUUUUACCAUCGUUUUGUAACAUAUUUUUUUUUUGCUCCUCCAGAAGAAAAAUAGCAACGUUAUCAAAAGGCGAUUUAAAAUUGCUGCAAACUCACGCAGAAGAUUUUAUGGGUGAAGCAGGUGAAGAAGAUGAGGAAAAUGGACUAUCUGGUUCUGAUGCCUUUGUGAUACAAAACAACAAUGCAAUGCUGUCACCUCUUAAUCAAGAUGUAACGUCACCUGGAGUCAUUCGAACUGCUAAAGCUGAAAAACGGAUGAAAAAUCGACUGAUUCAAGAUGUAAGUUUUCUGUUACACAUUGGUUUGUCUCACUCAUCGGCAUGCUCAACAUAAAUGCAUAUUUUUAGGCAUAUUUUGAAACUUUGAACAUCUUUGAAAGCUGUUUUCUCAUCUAAAAUUUGAUGAAGUGAAUUGCGGAAAAAAUGUAGGUAUUCUCAUUUGUUAUCAACUUGCCCAAAAUACAUUUUUAAAAUGAACUGCAGCCGUCUAGUUGUUUUGCUCUAAAAUUUAGGCAGCCCUUCUAUUUCUGGGAAACUUCCUCAAAUUUUAAUAAAAAAUUAUGUAACUGCAAUCAUGCUUUAGAUCAAAGUUACUUGGUUUAAAUAAAUUAUAUCUAGCCCUCUUUAAUGUGAUUGAUUUUGUUGACAGGGCUUGCUUACUGAUGAGGAAUUAGAUAAGGAGCUGUCGCGUGCAGAACAAAGAGCUCUCAAUGCUGAAAAACGAGCUGCGUGGAGGCAAGCUCGUUUAAAAUCUCUUGAGCAGGUCAGUUCGUCUUUAUUUUUUUCUUUGUCAGCAAGAAUGCAACUGCGCUGUACAGUAAUGUGAAAAUUAAAGAUUGGCAAUUGCAGAGAGUCAGAAUUAUGCUAGGGGAGAAUGGUCCCUCAAUUUUAAGAGAACACUGUGCCCUUAAUCUAUCAAAACUGUUCGGAAAGACUAAACCAAUCAUUAUUUCCUCCAUCAAUCAUCGCUAAGUCCACCGCAAUCAGUUUCUGUAUCUCCUCCUUGUCAUAUGUAAGCCAGCCAGUUUUUCCCUACACAAUUUGGGGCAAGGUUUUGUUUUAAAGUCUAUCAAGAUGUUUUUCUGUCUCGGUAACAUUCAAAGUGUUCAUUUUUCUCCUCAAAGAGGAAAACAAGGUAUUACAUAGGCCGAUCUAUGAUUACUGUAAGAAGAUUAUCAUAUAUUUGUAUUACAUGCCUUCUGCCUUAAAUUUAAACUGUACAGUCAACAAUCGCCGCAAAAUUAUUUAGUGUAAAUAAAUUCAACUUUUUAUUUCUUUAUCUAACCACCAAUUGACUGGAGAGACAAUUUUCAUUGGUUAAUGAAAACCACGGCAAAUCUCAGUGUUUGUGACUUAUUUUAAAACAACCGGUAGUAUUUUUUUUAAUUCUGUCUGAAUUGCAAAACUAAUUAUUGAUCCUCUGACAUACUUUAUUUUAGGAUGCUUUACAAGCUCAGAUUG